GACGAACGCUGGCGGCGUGCUUAGCACAUGCAAGUCGAGCGGUAAGGCCCUUUCGGGGGUACACGAGCGGCGAACGGGUGAGUAACACGUGGGUGACCUGCCCUCAGCUCUGGGAUAAGCCUGGGAAACUGGGUCUAAUACUGGAUAUGACUCCACGGUGCAUGUCGUGGGGUGGAAAGCCUUGUGCGGCUGAGGAUGGGCCCGCGGCCUAUCAGCUUGUUGGUGGGGUGAUGGCCUACCAAGGCGACGACGGGUAGCCGGCCUGAGAGGGCGACCGGCCACACUGGGACUGAGACACGGCCCAGACUCUACGGGAGGCAGCAGUGGGGAUAUUGGACAAUGGGCGCAAGCCUGAUCCAGCGAUGCCGCGUGUGUGAAGAAGGCCUGCGGGUUGUAAAGCACUUUC
rnacentral:rRNA from 1 species